rnacentral:rRNA from 1 species
AAUAGCCCAACGGCUGAACCAGCAACUUGGAGGAAUGAAUAGCAAUAGCUAAUUGCACAUAUGUAUGAUGCAAUAUCGACUCAGUCGAAUAAAAUUCUGGCUAGAAUUAUGAUAAUGACAUUAUCUAGUCAUAUGUCUUGACCAAAUUACGUGCCAGCAGUCGCGGUAAUACGUAGAAGACUAGUGUUAUUCAUCUUUAAUAGGUUUAAAGGGUACCCAGACGGUAAAUCAAGCCCUAGACGGGACUAAUUUACUAGAGUUACUUAUGCGGAGGUUUUUAAGUACUAAUGGUGUAGAGAUAAAAUUUUGUAAUACCAUUUUUCGAAAGAAAAGUUAUGGCACUGGUAAAGGCGAAAGCAUCCUCUUAUGUGAUAACUGACGUUGAAGGACGAAGGCUUUGGAUCGCAAAUAGGAUUAGUUACCCUAGUAGUCUAAGCAGAGAAUUAUGAGUGUCAUAGAUUAGAAAUUAAUUUUAUUCUAUAAAUGAAAGUGUAAGCACUCCACCUCAAGAGUAAUUUGGCAACAUUGGAACUGAAAUCAUUAGACCGUUUCUGAA